CAGCACCUCAAGUGGUCAGGAUGAUUAUUGGGCCUAAAGCAUCCGUAGCCGGCGCUGUAAGUUUUCGGUUAAAUCCAUACGCUCAACGUAUGGGCUGCCGGGAAUACUGCAAAGCUAGGGAGUGGGAGAGGUAGACGGUACUCGGUAGGAAGGGGUAAAAUCCUUUGAUCUAUUGACGACCACCUGUGGCGAAGGCGGUCUACCAGAACACGUCCGACGGUGAGGGAUGAAAGCUGGGGGAGCAAACCGGAUUAGAUACCCGAGUAGUCC
rnacentral:rRNA from 1 species